rnacentral:rRNA from 1 species
UGGGGAAUAUUGCACAAUGGGCGAAAGCCUGAUGCAGCAACGCCGCGUGAGUGAUGAAGGUCUUCGGAUUGUAAAGCUCUGUCUUUUGGGACGAUAAUGACGGUACCAAAGGAGGAAGCCACGGCUAACUACGUGCCAGCAGCCGCGGUAAUACGUAGGUGGCGAGCGUUGUCCGGAUUUACUGGGCGUAAAGGGUGCGUAGGCGGAUGUUUAAGUGAGAUGUGAAAUACCCGGGCUUAACUUGGGUGCUGCAUUUCAAACUGGAUAUCUAGAGUGCAGGAGAGGAGAAUGGAAUUCCUAGUGUAGCGGUGAAAUGCGUAGAGAUUAGGAAGAACACCAGUGGCGAAGGCGAUUCUCUGGACUGUAACUGACGCUGAGGCACGAAAGCGUGGGUAGCAAACAGGAUUAGAUACCCUGGUAGUCCACGCCGUAAACGAUGAGUACUAGGGUGUAGGAGGUAUCGACCCCUUCUGUGCCGCAGU